GUUAAUGAGUAAUUUAUGGUCUACCUUUUGGUGUGUACUAAAAUCUCAUUUCCUUCCUUUUGAAUAUACUCCUUCUAUAAAAUUUAAUUUUAUAAGGGAACAAAGUUAUUCAAAUCUUUUACUGUGAAGAAAUUAGAGUGUUCAAAGCAGGCGUAACCUAGCCUUUGAAUAUAUUAGCAUGGGAUAAUGAAAUAGGACUUUAAUCCUACUUUCGUUGGUUUCUAGGGCUAAAGUA
rnacentral:rRNA from 1 species